GUAGGUGGCAAGCGUUGUCCGGAAUUAUUGGGCGUAAAGCGCGCGCAGGCGGUCCUUUAAGUCUGAUGUGAAAGCCCACGGCUCAACCGUGGAGGGUCAUUGGAAACUGGGGGACUUGAGUACAGAAGAGGAAAGCGGAAUUCCAAGUGUAGCGGUGAAAUGCGUAGAGAUUUGGAGGAACACCAGUGGCGAAGGCGGCUCUCUGGUCUGUAACUGACGCUGAGGCGCGAAAGCGUGGGGAGCAAACAGGGAUUAGAUACCCUGGUAGUCCACGCCGUAAACGAUGAGUGCUAAGUGUUAGGGGGUUUCCCGCCCCUUAGUGCUGCAGCUAACGCAUUAAGCACUCCGCCUGGGGAGUACGGCCGCAAGGCUG
rnacentral:rRNA from 1 species